GCAGAAGGAUCACUAGUGAAUAUACAUCCACUCAUCCGGAUGCCGGUUUUUGACGCCCACCCCAGAUAUCCGCAAACCGUCUUCUCUGGGGGUUUUUCUUGGACACACCUCGCCAACCAACUUGUGUUCGUAGAAGUAGGUGUGUACGUCGCUUAACCCCAAAAUCAACACAACUUUCGACAACGGAUCUCUUGGUUCUCCCA
rnacentral:misc_RNA from 1 species